rnacentral:rRNA from 1 species
UACAGAGGGUGCGAGCGUUAAUCGGAAUUACUGGGCGUAAAGCGCACGUAGGUGGCGACGUAAGUCGGGUGUGAAAGCCCCGGGCUCAACCUGGGAAUUGCAUUCGAGACUGCAUUGCUGGAGUACGGAAGAGGAGGGCGGAAUUCCCGGUGUAGCGGUGAAAUGCGUAGAUAUCGGGAGGAACAUCAGUGGCGAAGGCGGCCCUCUGGUCCAGUACUGACACUCAGGUGCGAAAGCGUGGGGAGCAAACAGG